GGGGGCGUGUUGUAAUUGGCAGCAAUCGUGUUUACCAAACCCGAAGUGCGGGUUCAAAUCCCGUCGCCUCCACCA
rnacentral:tRNA from 4 species